rnacentral:rRNA from 1 species
GAGUUUGAUCGUGGCUCAGAACGAACGCUGGCGGCAGGCCUAAUACAUGCAAGUCGAACGGGCGUAGCAAUACGUCAGUGGCAGACGGGUGAGUAACACGUGGGAACGUGCCCAAAGGUACGGAACAACUCCGGGAAACUGGAGCUAAUACCGUAUGUGCCCGAAAGGGGAAGAUUUAUCGCCUUUGGAUCGGCCCACGUCUGAUUAGCUAGUUGGCGGUGUAAUGGACCACCAAGGCGACGAUCAGUAGCUGGUCUGAGAGGAUGACCAGCCACACUGGGACUGAGACACGGCCCAGACUCCUACGGGAGGCAGCAGUAGGGAAUAUUGGACAAUGGGCGAAAGCCUGAUCCAGCCAUGCCGCGUGAGUGAUGAAGGCCUUAGGGUUGUAAAGCUCUUUCGCCAGGGACGAUAAUGACGGUACCUGGAUAAGAAGCCCCGGCUAACUUCGUGCCAGCAGCCGCGGUAAU